rnacentral:rRNA from 1 species
GGCUCUUUUACCAGGGAUGAUAAUGACAGUACCUGGAGAAUAAGCUCCGGCUAACUCCGUGCCAGCAGCCGCGGUAAUACGGAGGGAGCUAGCGUUGUUCGGAAUUACUGGGCGUAAAGCGUACGUAGGCGGUUAUUCAAGUCAGAGGUGAAAGCCCGGGGCUCAACCCCGGAACGGCCUUUGAAACUAGGUAGCUAGAAUCUUGGAGAGGUCAGUGGAAUUCCGAGUGUAGAGGUGAAAUUCGUAGAUAUUCGGAAGAACACCAGUGGCGAAGGCGACUGACUGGACAAGUAUUGACGCUGAGGUACGAAAGCGUGGGGAGCAAACAGGAUUAGAUACCCUGGUAGUCCACGCCGUAAACGAUGAUAACUAGCUGUCCG